rnacentral:rRNA from 1 species
UAACGCGAAGAACCUUACCUAGGUUUGACAUAUGCGAGAAGCCUCUGGAGACAGAGGUCUCUUUGGACACUCGUAUACAGGUGGUGCAUGGCUGUCGUCAGCUCGUGUCGUGAGAUGUUGGGUUAAGUCCCGCAACGAGCGCAACCCUCGUCUUAUGUUGCCAGCACGUCAUGGUGGGGACUCAUAAGAGACUGCCGGGGUCAACUCGGAGGAAGGUGGGGAUGACGUCAAGUCAUCAUGCCCCUUAUGCCUAGGGCUUCACGCAUGCUACAAUGGCCGGUACAAAGGGCUGCGAUACCGCAAGGUGGAGCGAAUCCCAAAAAGCCGGUCUCAGUUCGGAUUGGGGUCUGCAACUCGACCCCAUGAAGUCGGAGUCGCUAGUAAUCGCAGAUCAGCAACGCUGCGGUGAAUACGUUCCCGGGUCUUGUACAC